CAAAGGUAGCAUAAUCAUUUGUCUACUAAUUAUAGACCUGUAUGAAAGGCAAAAUGAGGGUUUAACUGUCUCUUAUAAUAAAUCAAUUAAACUGAUCUCCUAGUAAAAAAGCUAGAAUAACAACAUAAGACCAGAAGACCCUGUGAAGCUUAAAUUAAACUAUUAAACUAUAUAAUAACUCCUUUCGGUUGGGGCGACCUUGGAAAAAAAAAGAACUUCCAAACAACAUGAUUUACCUCAGACAUAAAUAAGGCCAACAAGCCAACAAAUGACCCAGCAUAGCUGAUAAUUGAAUCAAGUUACUCCAGGGAUAACAGCGCAAUCUUCUUCAAGAGCCCAUAUCAAAAAGAAGGUUUACGACCUCGAUGUUGGAUCAGGACAUCCUAAUGGUGCAGCCGCUAUUAAGGGUUCGUUUGUUCAACGAUUAACAGU
rnacentral:rRNA from 1 species